UCAUGAAUGGCUUGGUGUCCUCCCCGUGGUGAUGAGUGAGUACUUACUCUGUUAGUUCACAUGAGAGCUGGCUGUUUAAGGAAGGCUGGCUCCUCCUCCCUCCUUUGCUCUCUCUUGCACUCUCUCUCUCCCUGUCUCUGUCUCUCUGUCCCACUCUUACCAUGUGACACACCUGCUCCUCCUUCACCUUCCGCCAUGAUUGAAAGCUCCCUGAGCCUUCACCAGGAGCAGAUGCCAGCGCCAUGCUUCCUGGCGCCUACUAAACUGUGAGCCAAAUUAAACCUCUUUUCUGUAUAAAUUACCCAGCCUCAGGUAUUUCUUUAUAGCAACGCAAAAAUAGACUAACACAGAAAUGGGGCAUCACCUGAACUACAAGGCCCUCUGAGCUGGCUAUUGCUUCCUCCUCAGCAACAAGUCAGGCCACAAGGUUCCUAGUAACUGCCUGUAACCCGGCCUUUUUCCUCACCCUGGCCUUCCUUCUAUCAAGGUACCUGCAUUAACCGGGCUUCCUGCUUGGAAUGACAUCUCCACCCACAGAGCUCUGCCUCCAGUUAAUUCAUGCUCAGCCUCAGGCCUCAACUCCAUAUCCCUUCCUUGAGGAAGUCUCCCCUGACCCCUAUACCAGACCACAGGAACCUUAUGGGAUUGUUUACCCGGUAUCCCUGGCAACAAGCUGAUCCUGGCAGAUAGGGAGCGUGCAAAGCACAUUAGAUGAAUAAAUAAAUGAAAAUUAUUGAUUCUUCCAGCUCCACCAGGGGGCAGGGGCUGUAGCCUUCUUUCCCUGUCUGCUCCCUGGAUCUGCUCCCAUGGUGCUGGAGAAAGCAAGUGUAGCAUUGCUUGUUUAUUUAUGCUUCCAUUUGUUCAAUAGAUAUCUACUGAGAGCCCGCUAUGUGCCAUUUUGGAGUCAGUGGUGAACAUAGCAUCAAAAUCCUGCCCUCACAAGAUUACUUUAUUUUUUUUGAGAUGGAGUCUCACUCUGUCGCCCAGGCUGGAGUGCAGUGGUGCGAUCUCAGCUCACUGCAACCUCUGUCUCCCGGGUUCUAGCAAUUCUCCUGCAUCAGUCUCCUGAGUAGCUGUGACUACAGGCUUGUGCCACCAUGCCAGACUAAUUUUUUUGUAUUUUUAGUGGAGAUAGGGUUUCACCACAUUGGUCAGGCUGGUAUUGAAUUCCUGACCUCAAAUGAUCCACGUGCCUCAGCCUCCCAAAGUACUGGGAUUACAGGUGUUAGCCACCAUGACCGCCACAAGAUUACAUUCUAUACUGAAGGAGACAGACACUAAGCAAAUAAACAGGAAACUAUGCUGUAUGCUGGUGCUAGGGCCAGAACAAUUUAUGAGAGAAGUGGAGGUGGGGGAGCCAUACUAAAUAAAAUGGUUGGAAAAGGCCUUCUUGAUAAAAUAUAAUUGAGGAAAGACAAAGGAUAUAGCAAUAUGAUGAAAGGGCAUGUCAGAUAAAAUUCAGAUGUCCAGAUAAUUUUGAAUUUUAUUUUAUUUUAUUUAUUAUUAUUUAUUUAUUUUUUGAGACUGAGUCUCACUCUGUCACCCAGGCUGGAGUACAGUGGCAUGAUCUUGGCUCACUGCAACCUCUGCCUCCCGGGUUCAAGCGAUUCUCCUGCCUCAGCCUCCUGAGUAGCUGGGACCACAGGCAUGCGCCACCACACUGGGCUAAUUUUUGUAUUUUUUUAGUAGAGAAGGGGUUUCACCAUGUUGGUCAGGCUGGUCUUGAACUCCAGACCUCAGGUGAUCUGCCUGCCUCGCUCGGCGUCCCAAAGUGCUAGGGAUUACAGGCAUAAGCUACCAUGUCCAGCCAAAAUUUUUUCAAAUUCUAAUGUUUUUAAUUCACAAAUUGCAAUUCAUAUUGCCACGGAGGAAACAAAAUUGUAACUAAUGAAGAAUUCUAAGAGCUGUUUUUUGUUGUUGUUUUUUUUUGAGAUGGAGUCUCAGUCACCCAGUCUGGAGUGCAGUGGUGCGAUCUCGGCUCACUGCAACCUCCACCUCCUGGGUUCAAACAAUUCUCCUGUCUCAGCCUCCCGAGUAGCUGGGAUUACAGGCACCCAUCAUGAUGCCCGGCUAAUUUUUGUAUUUUUGUAGAGACACGGUUUCAACAUGUUGGCCAGGCUGGUCUUGAACUCCUGACCUUAGGUGAUCUGCCCGCCUCGGCCUCUCAAUGUGCUGGGAUUACAGGCAUGAGCCACUGUGCCAGGCCAAGAGCUGUUAAAAGUAGUACCUGAUCUUUGGCUUUUGGGGUACCAGGAAUUACUUUUUACUAUGAGAGAGAACUUGACUUUUGCGUGUGCAGUGGCUGACGAGUCACUGGCAAAACCUGGAAAGUGGCUGACAGGGUUGUAGUGAAUGAUUAUUAUUGCAAUGGGCUAUUUGUUCUUUACGCACUUAGAUUAAAAGGCAGGUUUGAACACCUGGAGGUUGUGGGAACAUUCACUACCAAUGGUUAAGACUCUGAUGGAAGAUGAGCUGAUCACAGAGUGGGCUGAUUUGCAUUGGGUUGCCCACUAGCCUCAGGGGAAUGUCUUUACAGAAAGGUGUGCUGUGGAAGCACUGUGUGGCCUGGUCUCAUGGGGUUCCUGUCUUUGGGAACCCAAGAUUAAAUGUAAAUGUGGGAUACUGGCAGGCACAAGUGGAAGCCAGCACAACUAAUGAUGCAGAAUUUUUUGUUCCUUGGUUCAGCUAAAUCCAGAAAAAUUAGGCACGCAGAAACAUUGAAAGGUGAGGAUGGUGCCAGGUGCGGUGGCUCACACUUGUAAUCUCA
rnacentral:lncRNA from 1 species